rnacentral:snRNA from 1 species
AUACUUACCUGGAAGAAAAAAUUCUCUGAUCAUGAAAGUGACUUUCCCAGAGUGAGUCUCAUCCAUUGCUCUCCAAUGUACUGAACCAUGCAGUUUCUCCAAAUGUGGGAAUUUCUGCAUCAUUUGUGGUACUGGGGGACUGUGCACACUCUACCCUG